GACGAACGCUGGCGGCGUGCUUAACACAUGCAAGACGAACGAUGAAGCCGGAGCUUGCUCCGGUGGAUUAGUGGCGAACGGGUGAGUAACACGUGAGCAAUCUGCCCUUGACUCUGGGAUAACUGCGGGAAACUGUAGCUAAUACCGGAUACGACACCUUGGGGCAUCCCAGGGUGUGGAAAGAAUUUCGGUCAAGGAUGAGCUCGCGGCCUAUCAGCUAGUUGGUGAGGCAAUGGCUCACCAAGGCGACGACGGGUAGCCGGCCUGAGAGGGUGACCGGCCACACUGGAACUGAGACACGGUCCAGACUCCUACGGGAGGCAGCAGUGGGGAAUAUUGCACAAUGGGCGAAAGCCUGAGGCAGCAACGCCGCGUGAGGGAUGAAGGCCUUCGGGUUGUAAACCUCUUUUAGCAGGGAAGAAGCGAAAGUGACGGUACCUGCAGAAAAAGCACCGGCUAACUACGUGCCAGCCGCCGCGGUAA
rnacentral:rRNA from 1 species